rnacentral:rRNA from 1 species
GCUUGUCUCAAAGAUUAAGCCAUGCAUGUCUAAGUAUAAGCACUUAUACCGUGAAACUGCGAAUGGCUCAUUACAUCAGUUAUAGUUUAUUUGAUAGUCCCCACUACUUGGAUAACCGUAGUAAUUCUAGAGCUAAUACAUGCGUCAAGUCCUGACUGCGCGAGCGGAAAGGAUGUGUUUAUUAGAUCAAAACCAAACGGCUUCGGCCGUCUCAUUGGUGACUCUGAAUAACUUUGGGCUGAUCGUAUGGCCUUGUGCCGACGACGUUUCCUUCGAAGGUGUGCCCUAUCAACUGUCGACUGUGAUAUAGACGCUCACAGUGGUUUUGACGGGUAACGGGGAAUCAGGGUUCGAUUCCGGAGAGGGAGCCUUAAAAACGGCUACCACAUCCAAGGAAGGCAGCAGG